rnacentral:rRNA from 1 species
UAAUACGUAGGGGGCAAGCGUUGUCCGGAUUUACUGGGCGUAAAGAGCGUGUAGGCGGCCAAACAGGUCCGUUGUGAAAACUGGAGGCUCAACCUCCAGACGUCGACGGAAACCGUGUGGCUAGAGUCCGGAAGAGGAGAGUGGAAUUCCUGGUGUAGCGGUGAAAUGCGCAGAUAUCAGGAAGAACACCAAUGGCGAAGGCAGCUCUCUGGGACGGUACUGACGCUGAGACGCGAAAGCGUGGGGAGCGAACGGGAUUAGAUACCCCGGUAGUCCUAGCAGUAAACGAUGGCCACUAGGUGUGGGGGGUGUUGACCCCUUCCGUGCCGUAGCUAACGCAUUAAGUGGCCCGCCUGGGGAGUACGGUCGCAAGACUA